UACGAAGGGGGCUAGCGUUGCUCGGAUUUACUGGGCGUAAAGGGCGCGUAGGCGGCCACCGCAAGUCGGUUGUGAAAUCUCUGGGCUUAACCCAGAAAGGUCAACCGAUACUGCGGGGCUAGAGUGCAGAAGGGGCAACUGGAAUUCUCGGUGUAGCGGUGAAAUGCGUAGAUAUCGAGAGGAACACCUGCGGCGAAGGCGGGUUGCUGGGCUGACACUGACGCUGAAGCGCGAAAGCUAGGGGAGCGAACGGG
rnacentral:rRNA from 1 species